UUGCUCCUGCUUGAGACUUCUGCUUCUUCCUCACCUGUUUCUUGCUCUUUUUCUGGGCUGAGUAUAACUUUGUAUACUUUAUAUUGAUGCUGAUAUUAAUUAGGCUGUUUAAAUGAACCUUUUGGUCUCAUUUUCCUGCUUCCUUUUCUCUGCUGGGGAGAGCUCAGUGAGUGAUAGAGCAACUGCUGUAGUUUAGCCCCUGAUACGAGCUAAAAUUAGACAGUCUGUUAAAACUGGAAAGAAAAAGCUGAUCUUUUUUGUAUGGAAAAAGGUGAAGGUGGCCACAAGUAUGCAGGCUGGUGUGGUGAUCUAGGUCUGUGGUGAGAAGGGGAGACCAUUUCAUGCCAGCUAUGAGGUUCAUCCUAUGGAGUGCUGGGGCAAAGAACUUCUGCAGUGAUAUUCUUGCAGAGAUGCCAUCCAUCUCAAUCUGCAUGUGCAAAGGCUGAGGGGAAGAAGCAAUCUUCAGGCAAUUCAGAGAUUCUGACAGUAACCAAUACAAGAAGUGGUAGCAGAGGCUUCCAAAAGCUGAGAUUACUAGCUGGAGCGUGUUGGGCCAAUUAAUACCUGCAACUCUAAUUGGCUGCUUAGCUGCAAAAUUAAACAGAGACAUUCCCCUUUUACUGGAUGGAAACCAUGCCCAGUUUAAUUUUUCAUAGCAGAAUGCACCUUUUCUGUGCUCUGUGUUCUGUGAUACUGUGAACUUUGCUGUGCUCUCCUCAGUAGCGUAUGGAGAAUGCCUGCAACUAUUUGCUGUGGUCUGGAUUAUCCACACUGAGAUGUCUCCUGCUUCUUUCUAGUUCUCUGUUUGAGAUGAAUAAUAGGCUGAAUAUGGUAUGUGACGGCUCUGUGGACUCCGAAGAUCUAACAUGACCAAAGACACUGCUCUGGAAAGUUGGCACAGAAGUGCUGCUGAUGAUUCAGACACAUCUCAGCUACCAGACAGAAUGUUGGAAUGAUCUUCCAUUAACUCUUGUGGUGUGGACUGUCUCAGGAGCACAGACCUGGAGCUGGAUGGGUGCAAUGUUCUGCAGCAGUGGUGCUGGGGCUGGCUGGGCUACCAUGCUUCUCUCCAUUGGACAGGCUGAGUAUCAGAGCGGUGACCCUGGCAGUUGCUUCCCAGACUUCAGGAACUUGGCCCUGCAGGCAGCUAACAUGGAAAGGGUCAUAAUUAAUUUAACUCUCCACCCAUCUGCCAAGCUCAGUUUCCAUCCCUGGAAUCACAAUUUGCACCUGAUGCUGUGUAAGAGCAGUUCCCGCCAGCCUGUAGGCAGUGUUACCCAGUUCAUCAUAGCAGAUAUGUUUUAAAUAUGGCUUUUAUAUACUGUAGUAUUCACUGUCCAAGUUCUUAUGUCUGAGAAUUCCAUCUUUUGUGUUUAAAUCUUUUGGAGAUGACCCUGGGAGCAGAGAGAGAAUCUCUGCUGAGGUGAAGCUGCUUUGGCUGUCUGCUGUCGGUGAAGCACUCUGAGCUGAGCUGAGUGAGCUGCACUGUAAUCCCUGUCUCAUUUGCAUAAUUUCAUAAUUUUUUUAACAAGCAAACUAUAGUUUAGUGUCAGAGUGGAUUCGUUGCUCUCGUUCUGAGGAGGAAUGACCACUGGAUGCCCCAUUAUUUUUUAGCUCAUGUGUGUAUGGAACACUCAUCUCAUGUUUCCUGUAGCUUAUGGUCCAUAUCUGAUAGUGGAUUGUAAAAGGUUUUUAUGAUUGAAAAGUAGAAAAGGUUAACUCUAAAUAAUAAUAAAAAGUUAAAACACA